CGCCUGUUUAUCAAAAAACAUGGCUCCCUUGAAUAACCAUAAGGAGUCGGUGCCUUCCCGGUGAGUUUAAACUUAAACGGAUGCGGUAAAGCGUGCUAAGGUAGCUUAAGUUAUGGCCUAGUUAAUUGUAGGCCCUGUGAAUGGUUUGACGAGUUUUCUUCUGUCUCUAGCUUGUUUAAGUGAACUUGAGUUGGAUGUGCAAAUGCUUCCUUGGUAAAGAAAGACGAGAAGACCCCGUGAGGUUAGAAAUUAAUGUGCAGAAUAGUGGGAGGCUACUUUUUCUGCCUUAUAGUUUUGGCUGGGGCAGCAAGGGGGCAAAAGUAGACCCCUUAAAAUUUAAUUCUGGUGAGUAAUGACCCAUAAGGUUUAAGGGUAUGAUUAGUAGAAGAAGUUACUCCGGGGAUAACAGCGUAAUCCGCCUUGACAGUCCUUAUAGAUGGGUGGGUUUGCGACCUCGAUGUUGGCUCUGGAUGUCCUGAAGCUGUAGGCGGUUUCAAGGGUUGGUUCGUUCGCCCAUUAAAAUCCNACGUGAUCUGAGUUCAGACCGG
rnacentral:rRNA from 1 species